rnacentral:lncRNA from 10 species
GGCCAUUUUGAAAGAAAAUAGUAUUCAUGAGUUACAAGCAAAGGCUCAGUUAGGAAUUUAUAGCUUGCAGCUUACCUUCUUUCAGGCAAGUAUGGUAUGCAAAGGAGGCAAUGAAUAAGCAUUUGUGAAAUAAAUGAAGGCAAAUUUGAGGUAGUCAAUAAUAAUAAAAAUGUAUCCUAAAAUGGAAAUGUAGAGACAAGAAAAAGAAAAAAACUGUUGGAGAAAAAGAAAAAAUGGAUUUUAAAAAAGAAAAAAUCAGAAAUAAAUAUUUUAGUAUCUGGAAUGAUUGAAUGACCACAAAUAAACAUGAGAUUUAACUCCAAGAUUCCUAGAAACCAAAGCAAAAAAGUAACUGUUAAGGUCUCCUAUUCUCUUGAUAUUUGACAAAAAUAUAAACAAACAAACAAAAAAACAUAGAAUUAUGCCUGAAUAGAUAUUGAAAAUAUUUUUUUCUGGCAUUAAAUUCAGUGUGAAAUUUAUUGCAUGAAAAUUCUAUUUUACAAGGAACAACAAACAACCCAGUAAGUUUCAAAAGAUAUAGACAAAUAGACCUUUUAAUACCGAUUCUCUAUAAAAGCGAGCACUUCAUAUUGAAUCAUAACUCACUUAAGACAUUUUUGCAGGGAACUAUUAUAAUACAGACUAGAAACAUUUCUUUAGCAACCCCAAAGGAAACAAGUAAAUAAAUAAUGUGUCGUUUGGUGCAGAUCUCUCAAAUAUCAGAUCUAGGGAUGGAGUUUUAGAUCCUAUAACAUUGACAGCAGAAAUGUCUUGUUCUGUAUUUUUGGUGAGGGAGAAAGCUAAAUGCUUUAGAGAGCAGACAUGCAGAAGC